GUCUAGUAAGCUUUUUGGUGCCCAAAUAUUUUUAUGAUAGGCCUUUCUUUAAAAGCAUAGAUUUUGUUUGGGUAAAGUAAUUAGGGCUGUCAACAGGUUGGGUCAUGUAGUAUACCUCACUACAAGAAAACCGGGUAUCGCCAAUGUUUGCAGGAGAUCCUUUGCCGGCAGGAGAUCCUUUGCUGGCACUAAUUAAAACUACAAGCUGGUAAAGUAUCCUUAUAAAUAAAAAUAAAAAUAAACCUACCCCUGUUUUCGACCAAUCUCUCCCGGCCCCCAACUCUCUCCCUCUCUCUCCCCUCCGUCAUGGCCGUGCCUUCUACUCCUCUACUCAAAGACGAGCUCAACAUCAUCAUCCCCACCAUCAGGAACUUGGAUUUCUUGGAGAUAUGGAAGCCUUUCUUCUAGCCAUACCAUCCGAUUAUCGUCCAAGAUGGAUAUAUGAUUUUUUUUUUCAAGGUCCCUGAGGGAUUUGACUACGAGCUCUAUAACCAUGAUGACAUCAAUCGGAUCUUAGGUCCCAAAGCGUCUUGCAUCUCCUUCAAGGACUCUCCACCAAUAGAAGAAUCUCCCAAUCUUCAAGAUCUGUUGAAGACUUGCACAUUUGUGUAAGGACAAUGGAUUUUUAAUCUUUUAGAGUUUAUUAACUACUCCCAAGAGCAGUUGAAGUUGGCAAAGCUAGGCCUUCUCUCCUUGUUCAGGAAUUUUGGAAAGCAUCCAUGUCAUAUAUGAAAUGCUGCAUGUAUCAAUCAAUGAUGCAAUUUUCAAGUUAUUUGCUCCCUCAUCCUUGAUAUCGUCUACAGUUUCUUCAUUAGUCAGAGAGAGAUGCUUAGUUACAUACUUGCCACAGAACUUAUGUUAUCCAUUUUCUCUUAUGCUGCAAGAAACAAUUGAAUGGAAACCUCCAUUUUUUGCUUUAUUUUUUUGGGGUUGUGUGGCUUGUUAGCCCUUCGGUUUUUUGAGACUGUUUGCCUGCUUGACGGAAUUUGUGUGGUUAAACACCUGAUUUUUGGUAAAGUUUUAGUUCCCAUUUCCUAUUAUUGUGGUAGAUUUGCAAGUGAGUGUAAAGUGUGCUUAAUAAUAAAAGUUUAGUUUUUAGCUUUGCUACAUACAUUUGUUGGUUGACUAGUGCAGUGCUUGUUCUCCGUGUUCUACAAUAAGUGUUCUAACUUGGUUUUUGAAGGGAUUAUUUUUCUUAAAAUUUGCAAUUACCUCUCUGUUAUAUGUGGUCUAUUUUAGCUACAAACUGAUAAUUGCUAGGUUCUCCUAAUUCUUUUGGUGACUUGGCCUUGAAAGAUGCUCUACUUCUUUUAGUGGAAAGACGAUUGAGCUCAUUGAUGUUACUUUCCAUCAAUGUAUGAUGACAAGGUUUAACUCGAAAAUGACUAUUAGUUUUGUGCCACCUGAUGGUGAAUUUGAAUUAAUGAAGUAAGCUUUUUAUUCCCUCACAAGGCUUAUUUUCCAGUGUACCCAUUUUUGUCCUUUGCCGAUUACUUCCGGCCGAAGUUUUUUCUUUUAGAAAACGUGAGGAAUUUUGUUUCUUUUAACAAAGGGCAGACAUUCUGAUUAACGCUUGCUUCACUUCUUGAAAUGGGUUAUCAGGUGAGAUUUGGUGUUCUAAAGGCUGGAGCAUUUGGUGUUUCUCAGUCUAGGAAACGAGCAUUCAUAUGGGUAGCUUCUCCAGAAGAGACACUCCCAGAGUGGCCAUAGCCAAUGCAUGUCUUUGCAGGCCCAUAACUGAAAAUCACAUUACCAGGGGAUGUACAAUAUGCUGCCGUCAGGAGUAUAGCUGGAGGGGCACCCUUCCUUGCAAUAACCGUGAGAGAUACAAUUGGAGAUCUCCCACCUAUUGGAAAUGGAGCAUCUAAAA